rnacentral:rRNA from 1 species
UACGGGAAAAGCAAGCGUUAUUCGGAAUUACUGGGCGUAAAGGGCUCGUAGGUGGCCAACUAAGUCAGACGUGAAAUCCCUCGGCUUAACCGGGGAACUGCGUCUGAUACUGGAUGGCUUGAAAUUGGGAAAAAAAUGCGGAAUUCCAGGUGUAACGGUGAAAUACAUAGAUAUCUGGAAGAACACCGGUGGCGAAAGCGGCAUCCUGGACCAACACUGACACUGAGGAGCGAAAGCCAGGAGAGCAAACGGG